GGGGUGCAGCAGGCGCGAAACCUUCACAAUGUGCGAAAGCACGAUGAGGGGAUCCCAAGUGCUUGCUCGUAAGAGUAAGCUGUUUUUAUGUCUAAAAAGCAUAGAGAGUAAGGGCUGGGUAAGACGGGUGCCAGCCGCCGCGGUAAUACCUGCAGCUCAAGUGGUGACCACUAUUAUUGGGCCUAAAACGUUCGUAGCCGGUUUGGUAAAUGCCUGGGUAAAUCGUGUAGCUUAACUAUACGAAUUCCGGGUAGACUGCCAAACUUGAGACCGGGAGAAGCUAGAGGUACUCCUGGGGUAGAGGUGAAAUUCUGUAAUCCUGGGGGGACCACCAGUGGCGAAGGCGUCUAGCUAGAACGGGUCUGACGGUGAGGAACGAAGCCCUGGGGCGCAAACCGGAUUAGAUACCCGGGUAGUCCAGGGUGUAAACGCUGCUUGCUUGAUGUUAGUUGGGCUCCGAGCCCAAUUAGUGUCGGAGAGAAGUUGUAAGCAAGCUGC
rnacentral:rRNA from 1 species